rnacentral:rRNA from 1 species
UACGGGGGGGGCAAGCGUUGUUCGGAAUUACUGGGCGUAAAGGGCUCGUAGGUGGCCAACUAAGUCAGACGUGAAAUCCCUCAGCUUAACUGGGGAACUGCGUCUGAUACUGGAUGGCUUGAGUUUGGGAGAGGGAUGCGGAAUUCCAGGUGUAGCGGUGAAAUGCGUAGAUAUCGGGAGGAACAUCGAUGGCGAAGGCAAUCACCUGGGCCUGAACUGACACUGUGACACGAAAGCGUGGGUAGCAAACAGG